rnacentral:rRNA from 1 species
CCUACGGGAGGCAGCAGUGGGGAAUAUUGGGCAAUGGGCGCAAGCCUGACCCAGCAACGCCGCGUGAAGGAAGAAGGCUUUCGGGUUGUAAACUUCUUUUCUCAGGGACGAAGAAAGUGACGGUACCUGAGGAAUAAGCCACGGCUAACUACGUGCCAGCAGCAGCGGUAAGACGUAGGUGGCAAGCGUUAUCCGGAUUUACUGGGUGUAAAGGGCGUGUAGGCGGGAAAGCAAGUCAGAUGUUAAAACCAUGGGCUCAACCUGUGGCCUGCAUUUGAAACUGUUUUUCUUGAGUACUGGAGAGGCAGACGGAAUUCCUAGUGUAGCGGUGAAAUGCGUAGAUAUUAGGAGGAACACCAGUGGCGAAGGCGGUCUGCUGGACAGCAACUGACGCUGAGGCGCGAAAGCGUGGGGAGCAAACAGGAUUAGAUACCCGUGUAGUC